AAAAUUUCAUGAAAUAUCUGCUUGUAAAUAUGUAUAACUUUUACCUGUUUCUCUGUGAAAAGAUUCUGUGAAUAAGAAUCAGAAAUAAUCUAGAUUCCUAAACUUUUAAUCAUCCUGUGGCUACUGAGGAUAAGAUGCAAGGUAUGAAGAUUCUCCAUAUGAAAAUAAAAAUACAUAAAAUUCUACACACAGAAAUUUAGGCCUUUGAGAGGCCAAGGAUUAAACCUCCAAGUCUAUAUGUCU